rnacentral:rRNA from 1 species
UACAGAGGGGGCGAGCGUUAUCCGGAAUUAUUGGGCGUAAAGCGUCCGUAGAUGGUUUUGUCAGUCUGCUGUCAAAGCACAGGGCUUAACCCUGUAAAGGCAGUGGAAACUACAAGACUAGAGUGCAGUAGGGGCAGAGGGAAUUCCCAGUGUAGCGGUGAAAUGCGUAGAGAUUGGGAAGAACACCCGUGGCGAAAGCGCUCUGCUGGACUGCAACUGACAUUGAGGGACGAAAGCUAGGGGAGCGAAUGGG